CAGAUUUCUUCUCUAAUUUGAUCGUCCACCAAUGUCACUUCCUCUCUAACAACCACUUGAGUUCGCUGGCCAGAUUUCUUCUUCGGGUUGUCUUGAGUUUUGACUUGGUUGGAUCGUCUAAAUGGGCUUCAAAUAUAACCGGCUCUACUCUUCACUUUCUUAGUCCUUCAUGACUGGUUCUGAAUCCUUUCCAUGUCAAAUUUUACUUCCUUGAGGCUCUCAUUGGUCUCUUUGAGGCUCUUAUGGUCUCCUUCACCCUUAAACAAGAGAUAAAGAAGAAAAGAUUAAGUUUUGCCAUAAGGAAUAUCAAAGAGAAUAUCAAAUGAGGAAUAUCAAGACUAUUAAGCAACAAUUAGGAUUUCAUGAAUAUAUUAAGCUGUGAAUUCUAAGGCAAUGGUUUAAUGAAGAAUAUCAUGAAAUGAGAGUAGAGUUUAGGAACAGCCUUUAUUCGAAGAAGGCUUGAACUUGUGCGGUUUGUUCGCCUAAUGGACUUCAAGUCUGAUGGUGAAUGGUUCUAACCCUCCCGCAAACUUAAAGUGUCCAGAUUAUCCAGCCCUUAAUCUCUAACAAAUGCAUUCGCCUUCUCUUCAUGAAACAAGCGAUUUCUUGCAAAAUAGAUUAGAGUUAAUGGGCAACAAAGACAAAGUUGGUGAAAGAUUAGUGUAGAAUGGACAGAAAUAAAGGAGAAUAAUAGUAUAAAGACAAUAAAGAAGAAUGGAGAAUAGAGA
rnacentral:lncRNA from 1 species